rnacentral:rRNA from 1 species
AUUGAACGCUGGCGGCAUGCCUUACACAUGCAAGUCGAGCGGCAGCGGACCUUCGGGUGCCGGCGAGUGGCGAACGGGUGAGUAAUAUAUCGGAACGUACCUUUCAGUGGGGGAUAACGUAGCGAAAGUUACGCUAAUACCGCAUAUUCUGUGAGCAGGAAAGCAGGGGAUCGCAAGACCUUGCGCUGAUUGAGCGGCCGAUAUCAGAUUAGCUAGUUGGUGAGGUAAAGGCUCACCAAGGCGACGAUCUGUAGCGGGUCUGAGAGGAUGAUCCGCCACACUGGAACUGAGACACGGUCCAGACUCCUACGGGAGGCAGCAGUGGGGAAUUUUGGACAAUGGGCGCAAGCCUGAUCCAGCCAUGCCGCGUGAGUGAAGAAGGCCUCGG